ACUCCGCCCUCCCCCUCGCGCCGGCCUUCCUGAGACGGCCCGCGGUCCCACAGAAGAACACCCCACCGCCUUAGCUCCCAAUCCGAAGCCUCCCUCCACCGCCGCCACCAACCUCUAGGCUCGCCUGGCCAAGUGGGGAGCAGAGCAGGGCGGGCGCGUGGCAGCGGCGGUCCUCCUACUCGCCGUCGUCGCACCGAACUCCCCGUUCGCUCGAGCCGCUCGCCCCCGCAACACCGACAUCGCGACGCCGCCCUCCCCAUCACGCCGCCACUGCGCGCAGCCGCGCCGUCGCCUUAGCACGCCCGUCCCCCCGCACCGCCGCUGUCGUGAUGUCCAGUCGUCCCCACCCUGUCGCGCUACCGCUACACCAUUGUCCCACCGACCCACGCCGACCGACGUUUCCUCUCCCGAUCACGGCCUCCCCCACCCGUCGUCGUCGACGCGCGAUGCUGUGGCCGCAGAAUCUCCGCGCGCAGAGGCGGCAGCGCGGCGCCUCCGGCCUCCCCCGCCGCGAAUCCCGACUCCCGCCACCCCGCCGUGAAUCCGCCGCCCUGCCCUGGUUCUGUGAAUCCCUCCUGUUCCCCUGCCUGCUCGCCCUGCUGCUCCUCCGCACCGUGCUUGACCCGGACUGAGGCGGCCGCUCUGCUCCCCCUCUAUUUCCGGCAUGACGGCAAAUUCAAGAUCCUCCAGGUGGCGGAAAUGCUCUUGGGGAACGGCGCCGCAACAUGCUGCCAACGUGGCGCCGGACGGCGGCGGUGCGCACUGCUCGGACCUCAACACCACUUAGUUUCUACGCCAGGUCAUCGAGGCGGAGAGGUCCGACCUCAUCGCCUUCACAAGUGCGGCUCUGCCUCCUCCUCCUCCUCAAGAGCUGCACCUCCUCCUCCUCCUCAGAGCUACAGUUGUUGUGCUCCAAAGCUUGCAGCCUUGGCUAAGCAGCUGAGCUAGCCUUGCUGUGCUUAGCUCACCUCGCUAGGUUGCACACACUAGGAUUGCAGGUGAGGCGGGGGAACUCGAUUUGAGCAGCGCUGACCUCAUGAGUAGAUCGGAGGAGCAGAGUUUGGCCACCGCCGAGCUCAAUUAUGCGUACUCUGCACAGCGGAACUCGAUUUCAUGGUCCUCGAGCUCGGUCAAAUUGUGAGCUUGCUCCCGUGGGCGAGAUUGCAAGCAGGAUGAGGAUGUCAAAGUGGCAUGAAGCAGUUUCAGCAGCGCAGGACCAUCCUCAUGGCAGCACAUAGCAGCGUUGGAGCGGGGCCAUCAUCAAGGCGGCGCUUAGCAGUCACCGCUGUGGAUCCGGGCUGUCAUCAAGGCUGCACUGGGGAGCUGCAGCAGCGGCUCUGAGCCAUCGCCCAAUAGCAAGCACAAGCAGCUGUCCAGCAGCAAGCUGCAACCUGCAAGCAUAAGCAGAGCUAUUGCAAUAACGUCGUACACAGACGCAGCAUUAAGGUGGAUAAGGAGAUGAAGGUGAAGCAGAUACCAAUAGCACAUCAGACUUGUGCCUAAAGGAUAGCAGGUUCGGAGUUCUCUUGUCUCCUCUUUUAAUCUGAUUAACCAUUUUGCUAAUGAAUCAUUUAAUAAUUAUAGGUACAAAUUGUGAAUUUCUAUCAGAUUAUCAUGAUAAUUGAAAUUCUAUAAUUUAUACUGCAAUUAAGGCGCAACAUAUUGCGAAACACAAUAUAUAGGGUUAAUUUUUUAUAUAUUCUUUCUUUCUCAAUUACUUAGCAGUGCCUAAAUUAUAUCAAUGGUUGCAAGAUUGAUCAGCCGCGUGCAAGUAAAGAGAAAUCUGUUGCAUUUGGUACUCAUAAUUCUCUAACAUGUAGUGCUGAGGAUUUUCCUUUAAAUUCCAUAACUGUUGUUAGCUAUUUCUGUUUUCCAGCUGCAGAGUCAUGCUUUCAUAAUAGGUAAUUAACUGAGAAUGUACUAUGAAGUGCACAUAGGUAAUUUGGUCCUAUAUGAGCUUAUAUGCAGAGCGAUGCUCCAUUAUUUCACUAAAAGUAUUAUUUUAUGGUCUCAUAUUCCUACCAUCUGGAAAGCUGUACAAUGCGUCUUCGGAGCACUUCCAUUUCAAUGUAUUCUUUUUUACCCUUGUGUGUACAUGAUAUAGUUAUUUGUCAGAAAGAAGUGCAUGAAACGAAUUUGAUCUAAUUGCUACAAGUCAACAAAAUUGGAAUGAUUAUAGCCUGAUUCUUCAACUUUCGGAGCACUAGCUUUUCAGAGAAAUAUGGGACCAUGGUAUGAAUAAACUACAUGGCAACACUAGCCUACAUGAACUUAUAUGAAUAUGUUUUAACUUCAAAAUUGAUUAUAUAAAAUGAUUCUUUAGGAUAGAUGUAGUAGAUUACUUUUUCUACAAGUUACAAGAUCCUAUUUUUUUCAGGAUGAUAAUCAAAUGGAUGAUUGGUCAGGUCAAGAUUUUUGCUUGGAAAGUUGAACAAUAGUUUACCAACAAAUACUAACAAAUGCUACUGUCACAUUUAGCAGCACAGCUUGUGCGGGUUAUGCGGUUAUCCAGUAGAGGAUUGUUUUCAUGCCUGCAUUAGCUGCCUGCAUGCCACAGCCCUUUGUUAUGCUACAAGGAACACUGGUUAUUACCAAGUAGAAGGAUAUGGUUCAUAUUGGUCUUGAGUGAGUGAUGCGUCUUACUGAUUAGUAUCAGGCUGAGCUAACUGCUAAUUUCCUCAUGCUUAUAUGGAGAAUUUGGAUUGUUAAAAAUAAUAUCUUGCUCCGUUGGGUGCAAAAAUUUCAAUAGAUGGUUUUGUUGUCUUUCUAACAUGCUAUAUGGAAUCACUAUAUCAAAUCAGCCAAGUGUGAUUAAGCAUAAAAGUAGUGCAAUCUGAUUAGGACUGAAGUGCCAACUGUGAUAAAGCAGAAAAGCCAUGUUCAGAGAUGGAUUCCACAAGCUACGGAUACUUUCAGAAAUAAUAUUGCCGGCUGUGGGAAUCAUCAUUAGGGACCAUGAGGGGAAACUUAAACUAAUAGCUUGGAGAGGAUUCUAUUUCACUGCAGGGACCAAAGGAGCCUGAGUCUACUGCAUGAUGGAAGGGUAUUUGUUUGGACUAACGCUGGCAUGAUAUCCCCGUGGUUCUUGAAACAGAUUGUGCAAAUAUGGCGAGCAAGCUUCAAGCGACAUUGCUGGACAUAUCCUUAGUGCGCCCCUUGAGGAAAGGCGACAGCUAGAGCAUGAGUUAAAUUUUGCCUUUUUCUUCUAUCUUCCAGAGUGCAUGAGGACCCCUAUCUCUUAUUCUGCAAAAAAGUUUUGUUCAUUGAAAUAUAAAGUUUGUUUUUAAGGUUUAGAAAUUUAUUAGGAAUGCAGUGCCAAUUGAUAUUGGGGUUGCAAACUUAGGCUUCUAUUAUAUUGCCAGUAGGUUGGAGAAUGGACAAUGGGAUGGAUACAUCACAAGACGAAUUAGACAAGUUAGGGUGUAGUUCGUAUUCUAGGGAGUAUUUAUGAAGGGUCACAUUUGUUCAUUAAAAAUGUUUGCAAAAUUCUAAAUUGUUUGAAUUGGUUGCA